rnacentral:siRNA from 1 species
AGAGUAGCCUCUGUCGCGGUGUCA